rnacentral:rRNA from 1 species
CCUACGGGUGGCAGCAGUCGAGAAUCAUUCACAAUGGGGGAAACCCUGAUGGUGCGACGCCGCGUGGGGGAAUGAAGGUCUUCGGAUUGUAAACCCCUGUCAUGUGGGAGCAAAUUAAAAAGAUAGUACCACAAGAGGAAGAGACGGCUAACUCUGUGCCAGCAGCAGCGGUAAUACAGAGGUCUCAAGCGUUGUUCGGAAUCACUGGGCGGAAAGCGUGCGUAGGCUGUUUCGUAAGUCGUGUGUGAAAGGCGCGGGCUCAACCCGCGGACGGCACAUGAUACUGCGAGACUAGAGUAAUGGAGGGGGAACCGGAAUUCUCGGUGUAGCAGUGAAAUGCGUAGAUAUCGAGAGGAACACUCGUGGCGAAGGCGGGUUCCUGGACAUUAACUGACGCUGAGGCACGAAGGCCAGGGGAGCGAAAGGGAUUAGAUACCCGAGUAGUC